GCGCAGCAGGCGAGAAACUUCACACUGCGCGAAAGCGCGAUGAGGGAAUCCCAAGUGCUUGCACGUAAGUGUAAGCUGUUUCUCUGUCUAAAAGCAGAGAGAGUAAGGGCUGGGUAAGACGGGUGCCAGCCGCCGCGGUAAUACCUGCAGCUCAAGUGGUGGCCGCUAUUAUUGGGCCUAAAACGUCCGUAGCCGGUCUAGUAAAUGCCUGGGUAAAUCGUGAGGCUUAACCUUACGAAUUCCGGGUAGACUGCUAGACUUGAGACCGGGAGAGGCUAGAGGUACUCCUGGGGUAGAGGUGAAAUUCUGUAAUCCUAGGGGGACCACCAGUGGCGAAGGCGUCUAGCUAGAACGGGUCUGACGGUGAGGGACGAAGCCC
rnacentral:rRNA from 1 species